rnacentral:rRNA from 1 species
UACGUAGGGCGCAAGCGUUGUCCGGAAUUAUUGGGCGUAAAGAGCUCGUAGGCGGUUUGUCGCGUCUGCUGUGAAAACCUAAGGCUCAACCUUGGGCUUGCAGUGGGUACGGGCAGACUAGAGUGCGGUAGGGGUGACUGGAAUUCCUGGUGUAGCGGUGGAAUGCGCAGAUAUCGAGGAGGAACACCGAUGGCGAAGGCAGGUCAC